rnacentral:tRNA from 1 species
GCUUGGGUGGCUCGGUCGGUUAAGCAUCUGACUUUGGAUCAGGUCAUGAUCUCAGAGUUUGUGAGUUCGAGUCCUACAUCAGGCU